UCCAUUGUUUUGCUUCUUCAUCUCGUUGCUUAUUUCUCCAUUUUCUCUAAAAAAUUCCACUACCCACAUUGAGUUAAUGUUGAAAUCCUCAUGAAAUCAAACCCCCUAAGCUCGUUUCCUUCACCAAUUGUAGCAAUGGAAGCUUAGGGUUUUAUUGGUUUUAGUGGGAUAAUCCAUGGCUUGAGCGAGAAAGCUCUAAUAAGAUGAUGAUUUAUGGAAAUUAUAAGCUUGAAUGAUGAUGGAGUAGAGCUCAUGGAAGCUUGAUUAAGUGUUUUAGAUCAUCCAUUAAGAUGUGAUUCAAGAUAUGCCGGCAUGGCCUGACUGCCACUUGUUCGAGGGCGAGGAGAACUGUAGAUACUUCGAUUGAAGACGGAGAUGCACUGCAUGGUUGAGUUGGAGUGCAAGAGUAUGAUAUUUGGACUCCAGGUGUGUCACGGCUGCUCUCCAUCGCUGCAGAAAAGAACAACAGAAGUAAGAUUUGUUGUGUUAUUAGUUUUUGACUAAAAAUAGAGUAGUAACCAAAUCGGUGUGUCAGAAGUUAGAUUGGACAUUGGAGUACCAUAAAGCUAGAUGGAACAAUUAAAACUACCAAUACUACAUUGAGAGUUUUGUUGAAGUACAGGGAGAUCUUUUUGCUA